rnacentral:rRNA from 1 species
CUACACACGUACUACAAUGGCCGGUACAAAGGGCAGCGACACAGCGAUGUGAAGCGAAUCCCGAAAAGCCGGUCUCAGUCCGGAUUUGGAGUCUGCAACUCGACUCCAUGAAGUUGGAAUCGCUAGUAAUCGCGGAUCAGCACGCCGCGGUGAAUACGUUCCCGGGCCUU